ACAGCAGCCGCCGCGGUAAUACGAAGGGUGCAAGCGUUACUCGGAAUUACUGGGCGUAAAGCGUGCGUAGGUGGUGGUUUAAGUCCGUUGUGAAAGCCCUGGGCUCAACCUGGGAAUUGCAGUGGAUACUGGGUCACUAGAGUGUGGUAGAGGAUAGUGGAAUUUCCGGUGUAGCAGUGAAAUGCGUAGAGAUCGGAAGGAACAUCUGUGGCGAAGGCGACUAUCUGGGCCAACACUGACACUGAGGCACGAAAGCGUGGGGAGCAAACAGGAUUAGAUACCCGAGUAGUCCCUGUCUCUUAUAU
rnacentral:rRNA from 1 species